rnacentral:lncRNA from 1 species
AUGUGUUCCUCUGUUCUGAUAGUCCCAGACUUUGUUGGUCCAGAACAAUCACAUUCACCCUCCUAACAUACACAGUACAUCAAGGGGUCCUCAGGGUGUGUGAAGAGUCCUGUGUGGCUGGCGUCACACAGAGCUCAGUCUUGUUUUCAGGUUAACUUUUUACCAGAUAUGUAUUUUACCCAGUUUGCUCCCCACACUGUAAAAAUUUAAAAAAAAAGAAGAAGAAGAAGAAAGAGAGAGAGAGAGAGAAGAAAGGAAAAGAAAAAGAAGAAGAAAAGUUGAGAGACUUUCCUCAGUGAAUUGGGUGGAAUACAGCGGAAGAGUACAGGGGUCCAGGCUCCCACUGGGCAACACAAGAGGAGCAACAGGUUCCCUGAGGCAGAUAAGCUCACUUGGCAAAAGAUGCUAAAGUAUCAUUUGGAGACUUCAGUUUCCAAUGUUGUCCACAUUAAGGCAUAUAUAAAUUUACAUACCCUUCCUUUUUGAGACAGCUUUUAACCCCCAGUGAAAUUGUAGUGCAAAUCAACAAAUUCGUGGCAGGGUCGCCUCUGAUUGCAAGAGUUGGUCCCACAAAAGAGUAACUAGGACCAUGAUAAAAUCUCAGCCUCUUUUAAUUGCACAUUCUUCAGUGACAAUUUUCUAAGGAUUUAAAAUAUGUUUGUUAAAACAAUAAAUAAAUAAGUCGUGAGGGCCUAGAGAGAUGGCUCAGCAUUUAAGAGUACUUGCUGCUUGGGAGGGGAAUGUGAAUUCAGUUCCCAGCAUGUACAUGGCAGAUCACAGCAGUCUAUACCUUCAAUACCAGGAGAUCCAACACUCUCUUCCAAUUUGCAAAGACACUGCAUGCACAUGGUAUGCAUAUAUAUAUAUAUAUAUAUAUAUAUAUAUAUAUAUAUAUAUAUAUAUACACACAUAUACAUAUAUACAUAUAUAUAUAUAUAUACACCUACACAUAAAAUAAAUGUAAAUAAACCUUUUUGUUUGUACGUGAACAGAAUGGGAUGAGGUUCAGUGAUUCACUAUGCCUGAGGCCCAAGAUUUGAUUCCCCAGUGCCAUGAAUAAAAAGUAAAUAAGUAAACAUGAAUAAAGAGAAACAAAAACCUGAAUUUCAAACCAGCUCACUUAGAAGUUCUGUACUGUUGUUUUUUUAUACCAGCUGCCCAAAAGGGAAAAACACUUUCCAUCCCUUUCCAGGGUCACUCAAUGUGGAGGAAAUUGCUAACAUGUUCUUAUUUGUGUUGCCUCUAUCUUGUUUUUUUCUUUUUAAGAUAUUUUCUUUAUAUACAUUUCAAAUGCUAUCCCAAAAGUUCCCUAUACCCUCCCCAUGCCCUGCUUCCCUACCCACCCACUCCCACUUCUUGGCCCUGGCAUCCCCCUAUACUGGGGCAUAUAAAGUUUGUACUAACAAGGGUGUUGCCUCUAUCUUAAGCAUCAGUCUUUCUUGAUUCUUUUAGUUCUUCUUUGUAGAGUGCAAGAAACAGUCCCUGGGGCCUGUCAGAUCCUGGCUGUUACAUACUUGGUAUAUGAACUCAGGUUGAUGGAUGUAACCUUUUAUGUUAGUGACUCUCAUCUGGCCUCUAUUCCCUGCCCAUGGCCUUCUUAGCAAAUGUCUCAUACUCCUUCUGUAUGUAGAUUCCUGGGGUUCUGCUGGAGCCUAGCUCAGUCCCACACGCUUCACACGUUGCCCUCUGCUCCAGUCCUCCUACACAUUGCCUGGCCUUCUAUUUGAUGUCGCGGUGCAGGUUUCUGUGAUUGAAUGUAUAAAGCUUACAUUCUACAUGCCUGCAAAACUGGCAUCAUAUUGAUAGUGCCAAAGUCCUGCCAACAUGAACUGUGACCCCAGGAUCCCCUCUAACUUCAGCUGCUACAGCCUUUGUGUACCUAGAAAGCUAAACACAGGAGAACAAUCCCAAGGAAAUCAUUCCUUCAUGUUCCUGGGCAAGGAGGAUCCCCUAGAGCUGUCUUCCCCCAAAAAGUCUUAGAACUAGAUUUUACACUUUUCCACUCUUAUGGGCUGUAAAUGGAUGGGUUGUGCUGAUUCAUAAGAUGUCCUUAAGGCAUGUUUCCAUUGGUCUUGCUACAAAUAACUUGUCAUAAUAUCUUUAAAAACCACCCUUGCUGGUGAUGACUUUAAGCAUGCUUCUUCCUAGGCCAAGGUACAGUUUU